rnacentral:rRNA from 1 species
UACGAAGGGGGCUAGCGUUGUCCGGAUUUAUUGGGCGUAAAGAGCUCGUAGGCGGUUUGUUGCGUCGGCUGUGAAAUCCCGAGGCUCAACCUCGGGUCUGCAGUCGAUACGAGCAAACUAGAGUGUUGCAGGGGAGACUGGAAUUCCUGGUGUAGCGGUGAAAUGCGCAGAUAUCAGGAGGAACACCGGUGGCGAAGGCGGGUCUCUGGGCAAGCAACUGACGCUGAGGAGCGAAAGCGUGGGGAGCGAACAGG